AUUGGGAUUGCCGAAAACCAUGAAAAGAGUAGGCU
rfam:Chitinophaga eiseniae strain DSM 22224 genome assembly, contig: Ga0070509_101